GCUCAGUCGGGAGAGCGUUAGACUGAAGAUUUAAAGGUCCCUGGUUCAUCCCGGGUCGAGGCA
rnacentral:tRNA from 1 species